CUCCAAUGGUCUGCACGUUUGUUUUGCCGACAAGUUUGGGGUUAUCUGGGUUGUGGAUCUUGAUGGAGGAGUUGAUGGAAAUCAACCUCUGGUCAGUAAGAAGGCAAUGUCAUUGCUAUCGCAUUAUUGCAGUAUAAUAACUAGCUUGUGUAAAAUAUUCCUACACCAAAUACCAAUAUGGGGCAAUUGGAGGACAUGGGUAUCCAAACACCAUCGUAUAUUUCAUUGCGAGAAGGUUUGCAACGUAAAAGAUCCAAAGGAAAAAUAAAUGAGAUAUCUUUAUAUGGCUUACAAGGGGAUUGGUUCUUCUAGAGGAGGAAUGCGUCCUUGUUGGUUCAUUGCUAGUGGGGUGGGGCAUUUGCUGCAAAGUAGCUUCAAAGGACCAUCGCCCUUUCUUGAUUUAUGGUCAGGUUGCAUAUAUAAAGCUUCAUCGCCAACAAUGUGGUGAGGUUAUUUUGAAGUUACAUUGAAAUUUUACAUUUCAACGUUGAAGGACUGAUUUCUACGUGGAGAGCUAGGGCUUUGAUGCUCCUUGAUACAUAUGACACAUAACUGGAGGAUAUUAUGUUACAGAGUUGUUUAUGGGUGCAGGGUAUCAGGAGGUUCACAUAUAUAUAGUUCUUGUUUGUACGUACAUAUUAACUUUCCUUUUUGUGAAAUUUCCUUUUUCUAUUCUGUAACGUCCCAACAAACUCGUUUUUGUUCAUUUUACUAUUAAUAUUUAUGUAUGGUCUUGGAAAAUUCAAAUUAUUGGGAGAACCUUAUCAUUUUGAAUUUUCCGGUUUAUUAAAGUUGGGAUUUUCCAUUUUUUUUUGUUAUUAAGUAUUUUUCUAUUAUUUUACUUAUUUUAGUAUUUAGAAAUUAUUUAGUGAAUUAUUGCUAAUUGAAAGGAGGGUUAGUUGAUUUUGGUGAGAUUUGGAGAGAGAGAGGAGAUGGUUGGUUUGGGUUAUUUAAAGGAAAAGAAAAAGAGAUAUUGUUUUAUAAAAGCCUUGGGUCUCGUGCGUAAAGAAGAAGAGAUAAAUCAAAGAAAGAAAGAGGGGAAAAGAAAAGAGAAAAAGGGAGAAAAAAAAAUAAUAAUAAAACCCUAGCCGCCGCACGCCGCCGCGAACCCGAGCCGCCAAGCCUUCCCCUCUCUGUUCAGCAGCGCAGCCGAGUCUACAGUCCACCCGAGCCAUCGUCGAACUUCCAGCCGCGUCGGGAGCCAGCGCCUCAUGCGCAAAGAUUCGACCUGGCCGAAACCCCGCUCCGCGACCCAAACCGACGCGUGCCUCCGACCCGAAGCCCGGCCCGCGCCGCGCGCCUCCGACCCGGAACUCGAGCCGCGUGCACCCGUGAGCCGAGCAGCGCCCGCGUGCGAGCCGCACGUGCGUAGCCUCUGUGCUGAGCCGAGCCGCGCCUGUCUGCACCACGAGUCGCGCCUGUCUGCGCCGCGAGCCGAGCCGGUCUUCAACCUCCAAGCCGAGCCGGUCCCUGUCCUUUUUCCAGCCGAGCCGCCAAGACUAAUUUGGCUCCUCCCAUCCAAUUUUUGGGACGUCUUGGACCAAGUAACUGCUGCAGCGUGGGAUUUCUUCAGUAGGGGCUUAGCAUUGCAACCUCUUUCUAGGUUAGGACCUUGUUGCUUGGAAAGCACACUUGCCUCGCGAUCAGAACUCGCCAAGUAAAUCUCCAGGGAGAAUGCCGCCACGUAGAGGUGCACGCCGAGGAGGUGGUAGGGGAGGCAGAAGAGCCGGUCGUGGCCAGCCGGAGGCGCAACCUGCUGUGCCGGCGGUCGACCCUAACGCACCGGUCACCCAGGCGGAUCUCGCCGCGAUGGAGCAGCGUUAUCAGGACAUGCUGCAAGCUUCUUUGGCGCCUUUCCUCGCCGCCCAGCAGAACCAGGCCGCCCCUGUUCAGGCCCAGACCGUCGUUCCUCCAGCCCCUGAGGAAGCUCAACCCGUACCAGUUCAACUGUCGGUCGAGGCUAAACACUUACGGAACUUUAGGAAGUAUAAUCCUAAGACCUUCGAUGGAUCCAUGGACAACCCCACAAGGGCCCAAAUGUGGUUGACGUCAAUAGAGACUAUCUUCCGAUACAUGAAGUGCCCAGAAGACCAGAAGGUGCAGUGUGCAGUCUUCUUCUUAGAGGAUAGGGGCACCGCCUGGUGGGAGACUGCUGAGAGAAUGCUGGGGGGCGACGUCAGCAAGAUAACUUGGGAGCAGUUCAAGGAGAACUUCUAUGCUAAGUUCUUCUCUGCCAACGUGAAGCACGCUAAGCUGCAAGAGUUCCUAAACUUGGAGCAAGGCGAUAUGACUGUGGAGCAGUACGACGCCGAGUUUGACAUGCUGUCCCGUUUUGCUCCCGAUGUGGUAAGGGAUGAGGCUGCCAGGACGGAGAAAUUCGUUAGAGGACUCAGGCUAGACCUUCAGGGCAUUGUCCGAGCUCUUCGGCCAGCCACUCAUGCUGAUGCACUACGUAUAGCACUGGAUUUGAGCCUGCAUGAGAGAGCUGAUUUGUCUAAGGCUACCGGCAGAGGGUCAGCCUUGGGACAGAAGAGAAAGGUGGAGACGCAGCCUGACGUAAUACCGCAGCGAACUCUGAGGUCAGGAGGUGUCUUUCAGAGACACCGACGGGAGCUUGCAGCAGCCGGGAGGACUCUGAGAGAGCUACCCGCUUGUACUACCUGUGGGAGAGUCCACGGAGGUCGUUGCUUGGCUGGAAGUGGAGUCUGCUUCAGGUGCAGACAGCCGGGGCACACUGCUGACGCGUGUCCUCGGAAACCCUUUGAGACGACACCGCCCCAGCCUUCUGCUUCCCAGCAGGGGAGAGUUUUUGCCACUACCCGGCAGGAGGCCGAGCGAGCUGGUACCGUGGUGACAGAAAUUCUCACUGGAUGGCCGGUUCUUAGUCAGUGCAGACCGUGAUUUCAAAAUUCGGGUUACAACGUUUCCCACAAAACCUGUGAAUGAAGCUCAUGAGAUUCAAAGUUUUUGUCUUGGCCAUACUGAUUUCGUAUCCUGCAUAGCCUUCAUUUCCAACCUGGAGUGCUCACAUGGCUUUCUCAUCUCUGGAAGUGGUGAUUCAACU